GCCGCGGCGAUAGCUCAGUGAGUAAAGCGUCAUGUGGGAAAUUAUUUUAAAUAUAAAUUACUCUGGGAAAGCUAUUAUUAUCAACGUGGGUUCGAAUCCCGCCUGCGGCA